rnacentral:rRNA from 1 species
UUGGGGUGGUAGAGAAUACCGAGGGGCGCGAGGUAACUCUCUCUAAGGAACUCGGCAAAAUGGCCCCGUAACUUCGGGAGAAGGGGUGCCACCGCGAGGUGGUCGCAGUGAAGAGGCCCAGGCGACUGUUUACCAAAAACACAGGUCUCCGCUAAGUCGCAAGACGAUGUAUGGGGGCUGACGCCUGCCCAGCCGGAAGGUUAAGGAAGCUGGUCAGCGCAAGCGAAGCUGGCGACUGAAGCCCCGGUGAACGGCGGCCGUAACUAUAACGGUCCUAAGGUAGCGAAAUUCCUUGUCGGGUAAGUUCCGACCCGCACGAAAGGCGUAACGAUCUGGGCGCUGUCUCGGAGAGAGGCUCGGCGAAAUAGAAUUGUCUGUGAAGAUGCGGACUACGUGCACCCGGACAGAAAGACCCUAUGAAGCUUUACUGUAGCUUGGUAUUGUGCUCGGGCUCGGAAUGCGCAGGAUAGGUGGGAGGCUUUGAUCCAUUGCUUGCGGGUGAUGGUGAGCCACUGGUGAGAUACCACUCUUUCCGAGCUAGAGUUCUAACAGCAACCCGUUAUCCGGGUGCUGGACAGUAUCAGGUGGGCAGUUUGACUGGGGCGGUCGCCUCCUAAAGGGUAACGGAGGCGCGCAAAGGUCUGCUCAGGCUGGUUGGAAAUCAGCCGACGAGUGUAAAAGCAGAAGCAGGCUUGACUGUGAGACCUACAAGUCGAACAGGGAGGAAACUCGGCUUUAGUGAUCCGACGGUUCUGCGUGGAAGGGCCGUCGCUCAACGGAUAAAAGUUAUUCUAGGAUAACAGGCUGAUCUCCCCCAAGAGUUCACAUCGACGGGGAGGUUUGGCACCUCGAUGUCGGCUCAUCGCAACCUGGGGCUGAAGUCGGUCCCAAGGGUUGGGCUGUUCGCCCAUUAAAGCGGUACGCGAGCUGGGUUCAGAACGUCGUGAGACAGUUCGGUCCAUAUCCGGUGCACGCGCAGGAAUAUUGAGAGGAUUUCUCCCUAGUACGAGAGGACCGGGAGGAACGCACCUCUGGUGUGCCAGUUAUCGUGCCAACGGUAAACGCUGGGUAGCCAUGUGCGGAGUGGAUAACCGCUGAAAGCAUCUAAGUGGGAAGCCCACCUCAAGAUGAGUAUUCCCAUGGCAUAAGCCAGUAAGGUCACGGGAAGAACACCCGUUGAUAGGCUCUACGUGGAAGCGCAGUAAUGUGUGAAGCGGAGGAGUACUAAUAGACCGAGGGCUUGAC